ACUCCUACGGGAGGCAGCAGUGGGGAAUAUUGGACAAUGGGGGGAACCCUGAUCCAGCCAUGCCGCGUGUGUGGAAGAAGGCCUUUUGGUUGUAAAGCACUUUAAGCGAGGAGGAGGCUUACCUGGUUAAUACCCGGGAUAAGUCGGACGUUACUCGCAGAAUAAGCACCGGCUAACUCUGUGCUUAGCAGCCGCGGUAAUACAGAGGGUGCAAGCGUUAAUCGGAUUUACUGGGCGUAAAGCGCGCGUAGGUGGCUAAUUAAGUCAAAUGUGAAAU
rnacentral:rRNA from 1 species